CCUCCCGCCCCUGACGCCGGCGCGGCGGGGCCCAGGUGGUGCCGGUUCUCACGCGCACGUGCGCUCCCCGGGCCGCGGCCGGCCCAGCCCGGGACGGGCUUGCGCAGGAGUUGGGAGCAGCCCGCUCUGGGCUGCGAGGAAAGGCAGCAGACACCCAGGAUGUGCUUUUAACCCCGUCAGUUGGCGUCCUGGCUCCGGUGCGCCGUUGAGGGAGGUUUCCUUCGGAAAGAUAAAUAUCUUCUCAAAUCUCUCUGAAGAUACAACUGAAGGUAUUGCUGAUUGUGAUCGGUUCUACCUAUUUAUGAAGAUUAUUUCCAGUUAUUUCGUAUUUUGCUUCUAUCGU